rnacentral:sRNA from 1 species
GGAUAUGGGCAGCCGCGGCGCGCCCACCCCCCGCGCCGGUAAAAUCAAAACCCAAUCGUGGCAGGCAGCAGCAAAUUAACUGAACUCACCUUCUCUCCCGAGCACCAGAUCCUGAGCGAACAACUUCCCGCAGAAGAGCCUUCUCUAGUGUCCCCCGCCGUCUCACCAGAGUAGGGAUGCUCUUCCGCUUCUCCUUAGUGCUGCCUCCAAACCAAUGCACCAUCACCAACCAAGUCUCCUCUCGGAAGGUGUCUGCGUUUGCUGACUGGUUGUCACCCCCUGCCCCACUUCAGAACGCGUUUGUGAAGAAGACAUUCUAUCUGGAUGAAGCAACUACAGAAGUGCAGAAUUCCCUUUAUGAAUGUGAUAGAAUGGAGGGGAAAGAAUGCAAGUCUUGCUAAGUGGACUCAAGGCCAUUUCACAAAGAGCAUUGAAAAUAUCUGCUCUGGGACCCCAUGGAGGG